rnacentral:rRNA from 1 species
CUAACAUAUGUGCGAGACAAUGGGCGAGUAAACCCAUAAGGUGCAAGGAUGCUGAUUGGUAGGAUUCUCCUGAGGGGUGCACCGCCAACCGACCUUGAUCUUCUAAGAAUGGUUCGAGUGUGAGUAUACCUGUCGGGACCCGAAAAGUGGUGAACUAUGCCUGAGCAGGGCAAAUCUAGAGGAAAUUUGGGUGGAGACCCACAGCGAUACUGACGUGCUAAUUUCUGACCAUCGUACCGGGCGAUGCAUCAUUCAAAUUUUUGCAAUAUCAAAUUUCGAUGGAAAGAUAGUAGCCUACCAUGGUGGUGACGGGUGAUAGAGAAUUAGGUUUUGAUUCUGGAGAGUGAGCCUGAGAAACGGCUUUCACAUCCAAGGAACGCAGCAGGAGCGCAAAUUACCCAAUUCUUACAUGGGGAGAUAGUGACAAUAAAUAAUAAUACCAGGCUCAAUGAGUAAUUUGAAUGAGUACAAUCUAAAUCCCUUAACUAGGAUCCAUUGGAGAGCAAGUCUGGUGCCAGAAGCCGCGGUAAUUCCAUCUCCAAUAGCGUAUAUUUAAGUUGUUGUAGUUGAAAAGCUUAUAGUUGGACUUUGCGAUGGGACGGUCGGUCUGCCUAUGGUGUGCACCGGUCGUCUCAUCCUUUCUGUCGGCGAUGCACUCCUGGCCUUAAAUGGCUGGGUCGUGCCUUCGGCACUAAUACAUUGAAGAAAUUAGAGUGCUCAAAGCAAGAUUAUACUCUGUAUGCAUUAGCAUCGGAUAACAUUAUAGGAUUUUGAUCCUAUUACAUUGGCCUUUGGGAUCGGAGUAAUGACUAACAGAGACAGUCAGGGGCAUUCGUAUUUCAUAGUCUGACGUAAAAUUCUUGGAUUUAUGAAAGACGAACAACUGCGAAAGGAUUUACAAAGGAUGUUUCCCUUAAUCAAGAACAAAAUUUUGGGCCUCAAAGACGAUCAGAUACCAUCGUAGUCUCAACCAUCAAUGAUGUCGGCCAGGGAUCGGUGGAUAUUGCUUUUAGGACUCCGCCAGCAUCUUAUGAGAAAUCAAAGUUUUUAGGUUCCGGGGGGAGUUUGGUCCCAAGUCUAAAACUUAAGGGAAUUUACGGAAGGACACCACCAGGAGUGGAGCCUGUGGCUUAAUGUGACUCAACACGGGGAAACUUACCAGGUCUAGACAUAGUAAGGAUUGAUAGACUGAGAGCUCUUUCUUGAUUCUAUGGGUGGUGGUGCAUGGCCAUUUUUAGUUGGUGGAGCUAUUUUUCUAGUUAAUUCCAUUAACGAAUGAGACCUCAGUUUGCUAACUAGCUAUGCGUAGGUAUCCCUUCGCGGCCAGCUUCUUAGAGGGACUGUGGCCUUUUUGGCCAUGGAAGUUUGAGGCAAUAACCAGUCUGUGAUGCCCUUAGAUAUUCAGGGCCACACGCACGCUACAUUGAUGUAUUCAAAUAGUUUAUAGCCUUGGUAGACAGGCUCGAGUAAUCUUUGAAAUUUCAUCAUGAUGGGGAUAGUUCAUUUCAAUUAUUGGUCUUCAACGAGGAAUUCCUAGUAAGCAAGAGUCAUCAGCUCGGGUUGACUAUGUCCCUGCCCUUUGUACACACCGCCCGUUGCUCCUACCAAUUAAAUAAUCCAGUGAAAUAUUUUGAUCAUAGUGAUGUGGGCGGUUCGUUUCCCACGACAUCGCGAUAAGUCCAUUGAAUCUUAUCAUUUAGAUGAAGGUGAGGUCGUAACAAGGUUUUCAUAGGUGAACCUACGAAAG